rnacentral:tRNA from 1 species
GCAUCGUUAAUAUAGUUUCAAAACAAACGUUAGACUGUGGCUCUAAAAAUAGGAGUUAAAAUCUCCUUAUAAACC